CGGCUGCGUAUGGCGUCGGCGGAGAAUAGUGAAUCCGGUGCAAAUCCGGAACGGUACCGCCACUGUAAGCGAACAGGCGUCUGCGCAAAGACGAAAGUCGGUCAUUGGGAGCUUUCCCGAGAAGGCCGUGCAGCCGCCGCUAAAACGCAAGUCAGGAGACCUGCUUAAAC
rnacentral:ncRNA from 1 species